rnacentral:rRNA from 1 species
UACGGGGGGGGGCAAGCGUUGUUCGGAAUUACUGGGCGUAAAGCGCGUGUAGGCGGCUAUGUAAGUCGGGCGUGAAAUCCCACGGCUCAACCGUGGAAGUGCACCCGAAACUGCGUAGCUAGAGUCCUGGAGAGGAAGGUGGAAUGCUUGGUGUAGAGGUGAAAUUCGUAGAUAUCAAGCGGAACACCGGUGGCGAAGGCGGCCUUCUGGACAGUGACUGACGCUGAGACGCGAAAGCGUGGGGAGCAAACAGG